rnacentral:lncRNA from 1 species
GACAGAGAGCAUCUCAGGGUAGAAGGAGAAGAAAGAUGGUGGCAGUCAGCAAGACUAUCUAUCCAUUGAAUAGAUGCUUACCAGCUUGGAGGUCUUUUCAGAAUAUGCUUAGGCAGUCGUACAUUGGGUACAGGGAAGAGCCCAUAAGUACUGUCUGGAGCUUACUUGUCAAAUGGUGCUUGGUCUGCAGAGAUGGAUGGAUGGAUGCUUUUCUCUCUCUCUUCCUUACAGCUCUGCCAACUUUCAAGUCUUUUUGAAGGAUAGUGGCACACACCAGUUCUGCUUGGAAGCUGAUGGUAAGUUCCAGGAAUCCUGUUUCUGUCUCCAGUAACAGAGUUAUAGGAGCUCACCUCCCCAUCAGGCUUCUUGUCCUUGAGGAGUUGAUCGCCUGCUGAGCUUGCCUUGCAACAGAAACCAGCUGAAACAAAGAAUUGCUCUUUGGGGUUUACCCAUAUAAAGGCAGAGCUGAAAAUAAAACUUUGACCCUGGAUCAGAAAUCU